rnacentral:rRNA from 1 species
GAUGAACGCUGGCGGCGUGCUUAACACAUGCAAGUCGAACGGUGAAGCAGGAGCUUGCUCUUGUGGAUCAGUGGCGAACGGGUGAGUAACACGUGAGCAACCUGCCCCUGACUCUGGGAUAAGCGCUGGAAACGGCGUCUAAUACUGGAUAUGUGAUGUGACCGCAUGGUCUGCAUCUGGAAAGAAUUUCGGUUGGGGAUGGGCUCGCGGCCUAUCAGCUUGUUGGUGAGGUAAUGGCUCACCAAGGCGUCGACGGGUAGCCGGCCUGAGAGGGUGACCGGCCACACUGGGACUGAGACACGGCCCAGACUCCUACGGGAGGCAGCAGUGGGGGAUAUUGCACAAUGGGCGGAAGCCUGAUGCAGCAACGCCGCGUGAGGGAUGACGGCCUUCGGGUUGUAAACCUCUUUUAGCAGGGAAGAAGCGAGAGUGACGGUACCUGCAGAAAAAGCACCGGCUAACUACGUGCCAGCCGCCGCGGUAA